GGCCGACUAGCUCAGUUGGUUAGAGCGUCGUGCUAAUAUGGGACCGUUCCGCCGCCUUGUAUUCACGCGAAGGUCUUGGGUUCGAUCCCCACGUUGGCCA